GAUAAACGCUGGCGGCGUGCCUAAUGCAUGCAAGUCGCACGGAUCACCCUUUCGGGGGUGGUGAGUGGCGAACGGGUGAGGAACGCGUGGACAACCUACCCCGGCGAGGGGGAUACCCGCCAGAAAUGGCGGCUAAUACCGCGUACGGUUGCUUGGCGAGAGGCUGGGCAAAGAAAGCAGUAAUGCGCGCUGGGAGGGGUCUGCGGCCGAUUAGCUGGUUGGCGGGGUAGUGGCCCACCAAGGCGAUGAUCGGUAGCUGGUCUGAGAGGAUGAUCAGCCACACGGGACUGAGACACGGCCCCGACUCCUACGGGAGGCAGCAGUGGGGAAUAUUGCGCAAUGGGCGGAAGCCUGACGCAGCGACGCCGCGUGAGGGAUGACGGCCU
rnacentral:rRNA from 1 species